AGGGAAGGGAAGGAGGAAGAAAAUGUUAAAAGAUCGUUUUUUAAGGAUCCCCUCUGAAAGCUACAAUCAAAGUGUCAUCCACAAAAUCUUAUCUCAAGCCUUGACUAGAGAAGGACCCACUUCCAAGACCACAGAGUUGAAUGAAUUCAGUCCUUGCAGCCCGUUGAACUGAGGGCCUCCCCAACAUGCUCACCUGCUUCAUCAAAGCCUGCGAGAGAGAGAGUCCACUAGCAAGAGGACAUUGCAGUCUUAUCUAAUGCAAUCACUGAAGUGACAUCCUGUCACCUUGGUCACCUUUUCUAUUCUAUUCAUUAUAAAU
rnacentral:lncRNA from 10 species